UACGGGGGGGGGCAAGCGUUGUUCGGAAUUACUGGGCGUAAAGGGCUCGUAGGCGGCCAACUAAGUCAGACGUGAAAUCCCUCGGCUUAACCGGGGAACUGCGUCUGAUACUGGAUGGCUUGAAUCCGGGAGAGGGAUGCGGAAUUCCAGGUGUAGCGGUGAAAUGCGUAGAUAUCUGGAGGAACACCGGUGGCGAAGGCGGCAUCCUGGACCGAGAUUGACGCUGAUGCGCGAAAGCCAGGGGAGCAAACGGG
rnacentral:rRNA from 1 species